rnacentral:rRNA from 1 species
UACGUAGGGGGCAAGCGUUGUCCGGAAUCAUUGGGCGUAAAGCGCGUGUAGGCGGCCAGAAAAGUCCGCUGUGAAAACUCGAGGCUCAACUUCGAGCUGUCGGUGGAAACUUUCUGGCUAGAGUCCGGAAGAGGAGAAUGGAAUUCCUGGUGUAGCGGUGAAAUGCGCAGAUAUCAGGAAGAACACCCGUGGCGAAGGCGGUUCUCUGGGCCAUUACUGACGCUGAGGAGCGAAAGCGUGGGGAGCGAACAGG